AGCAGUGUGGUGUAGUGCGCACACGGGUUCUUCUUAAGGCCAAGUCGAAUUCUACUCCCGAGGUCCUUGUUCGAGUCAAGGUGCUGCUG